GAUGAACGCUGGCGGCGUGCCUAAUACAUGCGAGUCGAGCGAACAGACGAGGAGCUUGCUCCUCUGACGUUAGCGGCGGACGGGUGAGUAACACGUGGAUAACCUACCUAUAAGACUGGGAUAACUUCGGGAAACCGGAGCUAAUACCGGAUAAUAUAUUGAACCGCAUGGUUCAAUAGUGAAAGACGGUUUUGCUGUCACUUAUAGAUGGAUCCGCGCCGCAUUAGCUAGUUGGUAAGGUAACGGCUUACCAAGGCAACGAUGCGUAGCCGACCUGAGAGGGUGAUCGGCCACACUGGAACUGAGACACGGUCCAGACUCCUACGGGAGGCAGCAGUAGGGAAUCUUCCGCAAUGGGCGAAAGCCUGACGGAGCAACGCCGCGUGAGUGAUGAAGGUCUUCGGAUCGUAAAACUCUGUUAUUAGGGAAGAACAAAUGUGUAAGUAACUAUGCAUGUCUUGACGGUACCUAAUCAGAAAGCCACGGCUAACUACGU
rnacentral:rRNA from 1 species